rfam:Triticum aestivum genome assembly, contig: Triticum_aestivum_CS42_TGACv1_scaffold_158217_2DL
UUAAUAUUACCUCCAUCCCAAAUUAGUUGUCUUACAUUUAUCUAGAUACGGACAUACCUAACACUAAAACAUGUCUAGAUACAUCCAUAUUUACACAAAUCUAAGACAACUAAUUCGGGGAGGAGUGAGUACUAA